AGAAUCAACGCUGGCGGCGUGCCUAACACAUGCAAGUCGAACGAGAAAGUGGAGCAAUCCAUGAGUAAAGUGGCGACCGGGUGAGUAACACGUGACUAACCUACCUUCGAGUGGGGGAUAACCUCGGGAAACCGAGGCUAAUACCGCAUAACAUCGUGAGAUCAAAGCAGUAAUGCGCUGGAAGAGGGGGUCGCGGCUGAUUAGCUAGUUGGCGGGGUAAUGGCCCACCAAGGCGAAGAUCGGUAGCCGGCCUGAGAGGGCGCGACGGACCGACGACCUGGAACGUGAAACACGGUCCAGACUCCUACGGGAGGCAGCAGUGGGGAAUUUUGCGCAAUGGGGGAAACCCUGACGCAGCAACGCCGCGUGGAGGAUGAAGCCCCUUGGGGCGUAAACUCCUUUCGACCAAGACGAUAAUGACGGUACUGGUGGAAGAAGCACCGGCUAACUCUGUGCCAGCAGCCGC
rnacentral:rRNA from 1 species